ACAAGACACUCAAAGGAAGAAAAGUAUGGGCCAAGCACUCUAUCUAGCCAAACUGAUCUUCAAGUAUAAGGCCUAUAGGCAAAAUUUUAAAACCUGUGAGAAAUCAGGAAAUACAAUUAUCCUGAGCCUUUUCUGAACAACCUACUAGAAUCAUGGAACAGCAGUCUCAGCACCACUGAGCAAGCCUGAGGAAAUCCAGGUUUCCAGGCCCAAAAGAAUUAAUGAGGAAUGUUCUAGAACAUAAUCUUAGGAGGUGGAGGAAAGAGGAAAAGCAGAAAGAGGAGGAAAUGGAAGCAGACGAGGAAAAAAGAAGAGAAAAGAAAGACAAGAAGGGCAAGGGGUCUGAAUAGACAUUUCUGCAAAGAAGAUAUACAAAUGGCCAAAAAGCAUAUGAAAGAUGCUCAACAUCAUUAGGAAAAUACAAAACAAAAACACAGUGAGAGCACACUUUGUACCCACUAAGAUGGCUACACUCAAAAAAGGGGAAAAUAAUGUGUUGACAAGGGUGUGGAGAAAUUGGAUUGGAACCUUCAAGCAUUGCUCGCGGGAAUGUAGAAUGGCGUCGACACUGUGGAAAACAAUCUGUAAGUUCCUCAAAAAGUUGAACAUAUACCCAGCAAUCCACUAUAUAUCCAAGAAAGUUGAAAAUAUGUUUACAGAAUAACUUGUACGUGAAUGUUCACAGCAGCAUUAUUCAUAAUAGCCAAAAUGUAGAAACAACCGAAAUGUCCAGCAACUGACGUAUCAAUACACAAAUAGUGGUAUAUCCAUGCAAUGGAAUAUUAUUCAACCAUGAAAAGCAAUGAAGAACUGACACACUACAACAUGGAUAAACCUUAAAAACAUUAUGUAAGUGAAAGUCAGUCAUAAAAGACCACAUAUUAUAUGAUUCCACCUGUGUUAAAUGUGCAUAGUAGAAAAUUCAUAGAGACAAAUAUAAUAGUUGUCGCCUGGGGCUGGGAGUAAAGGGGAGUGACUGCUAAAGGGUACGGACUUUCUUUUUA